GGGCCCGCACAAGCGGUGGAGCAUGUGGUUUAAUUCGAUGAUACGCGAGGAACCUUACCAGGGUUUAAAUGCAGAACGACAGGGGUGGAAACACCCCCUUCUUCGGACGGACUGCAAGGUGCUGCAUGGUUGUCGUCAGCUCGUGCUGUGAAGUGUCGGGUUAAGUCCCAUAACGAGCGCAACCCCCAUUUCUAGUUGCCAGCGGUUCGGCCGGGGACUCUAGAGAAACUGCCAGCGUAAGCUGUGAGGAAGGUGGGGAUGACGUCAAAUCAUCACGGCCCUUACAUCCUGGGCCACACACGUGCUACAAUGGUAGGGACAACAGGUUGCCAACCCGCGAGGGUGAGCCAAUCCCAAAACCCUAUCUCAGUUCGGAUCGGAGUCUGCAACUCGACUCCGUGAAGUUGGAAUCGCUAGUAAUCG
rnacentral:rRNA from 1 species